CGCCCACCCAGGAGGGGUCUGUGUCAUGUGUUUCUCGUGGCCCCGCCAACCCAGGAAGAGUGGUCUUUAAGAGCGUGUUGGAUUCUGUGGGACUCGGAAGAGGUGCCUGAACUUCCCUGUGCUUUUGAAGUCAAGGGACUCCUCCCAGUGAUUAGGAGCAGUGGAACCGUCCGGAUCCUGCCCUUGGUCCAUGCCUUUGGCCUUUGGUCAUGUAGUGGCGGCCCUUUGGGCUCUGCCAUUUGUGUUUCAGAUCAUCAGUUCUGCUAUGUGAAUGGGCAGGACUCUCCAUCGCCUUGGCAAGACAAGGUGCUCCUCGUCCAGGAAGUGUUAGGAGUCCUAGGAGCCAGCUCCUCCCAUGGGAUGUGGGCUCCCGAUGGAGGACAGAGUCUCUUCAGGGCCCUCCUGGGCUACUGAAAUGGUCCAAGAAAACCCUUCAAGUUGACUUCCCUUCUCUAAUAUUCAAUUUUCUUGUCCAUCCAGUGGAAGAGUUGGAGUUGAUACUUGAUCCAUUUCAGCUCUAACUUACUAAAGUCUGUGAUGGCUCUGGACCUUCAUGUUUCAGGACCAGGCCUGGUCCUUCUCAGCUCUCACACUGAAGCCUCAGAACCAGCCUCACUUGGAGGGUGGUCUUCAGCUCCCAGCCAAAAGCCUCGCUUGAACCUCCUCACACUUCAAAGACAAGGAUGGUACCCGCAUGCCACUCAGCCCUUGGAAGGGAGAAACAGUUUGGCAAAGGCCACAGAAUGGACCUCGUCUCCUUACACCGAGCCCAGGGCUCCAUUCAGCAGCCACCUUUCCACCCCCACCCCCAUCUCCUCCCCUCACCCCGAUAUGCAUCUACAUGGCUGCAAACAAGAGCAGCCAAGUGUAGGACCUCCACCCACUGCCAUCAGCAGACACUCAAGUGGACAGGCUGGACUGGAGAACAAGAACAAGAAAGAGAGUUCAGAAGAAGGUCACCAGAGGCUUGAAGCGGAUUGACCAAACUUGACAGUGGGACAACGACUCAUAAAAGGGUGUUGUGAAGCCAGAUCAACUCAAUGACCCCCAAAGAAACUGCGGACUUCAAGAAACUUGCGUGACUUCAGCUUCAGAAAUACUCUUCCAUGGUGUAGAAAACACACCGCCCCCAAUACCCUGCCCACAGUGGGAUUCCUUAUUCUGUCCUUCUCGUGCCAGAAGAACGACCUCCAGUGCUUCUACCCUUUAAACACUUUUGCCAGAAACCCGAAUUCAUGAAAAGCGUGUUUAUCGCUUCACAGUUUUACGCAUUUUGUUAAAUGUGAAAGUCAGAACAAAGCAUCAAAAUACGUCUAUAGAGCUCCUGUCGUGGCUCAGGGGUUAAUGAAUCCACCUAGGAACCAUGAGGUUGCAGGUUCGAUCCCUGGCCUCGCUCAGUGGGUUAAGGAUCCAGUGUUGCCGUGAACUGUGGUGUAGGUCCCAGAUGUGGCUCGGAUCUGGCGUUGCUGUGGCUCUGAUGUAGACUGGUGGCUACAGCUCCGAUUCAACCCCUAGCCUGGGAACCUCCAUAUGUCACAGGUGCUGCUGCCCUAGAAAGACAAAAAAAAAAAAAAAUGUAUAACAUUAAUGAAUACUUUUGUACUAUUAGCCCUCACCUUGAAACAUCGUUAGAAAUUUUCGUCUUUGUUUUUAACCAGAAAGAAGAGCUGAGAGAUUCUGUUUGGGUUCUGAUUACUGUUCAUCACAAAUGUGAUAAUGAGGAUGACCUCCGUUAAGAUGGGUCUCAUCUGACUGAUGGGUGAGGGAUGUUGAGAGGAGGCUGGACCUGGAGCAGAAGGUGGGGGGUGGGGAGAAGGGCAUGAGAUGCUGCGAGCCAGCCACAUCGCAUGGCUACUCAACCAGCCCCUCUGCCUCCCAACAGCUGGAGUUAAUAUUUAAUGAAGAUUUUUAUAUGAUAACAUGUAAAUUCAGAGUUGCAAAAUUUUCUUUAACCCUGAAUUAGAAUAUGCUACUGGUAUUUCUCAAGACCUGCCAGGAACAGGCAUUCCACCUGUUAAUGUGAAUUACGACCGUCUGAGUUGUCCCUGUGUAUAGGAGAGUGGGGUCUCUAAACAGAGCUGAGAGGGCCUAAGACACAGCCCACGCUGCUAUCCCACUCCACCAAUGCAGCCCUUGCCUCAGCUGCCUCGUUAAAUAUCCUCAAUGGCUUUUGUUUGUUUGUUUGUUUGUUCGUUUUUUGGUUUUUUUGCUUUUUAGGGCUGCACCUGUGGCAUAUGGAGGCUCCCAGGCUAGGGGGUCAAACUGGAACUACAGCUGCAGGCCUACACCACAGCCACAGCAACGCAGGAUCCGAGCUGCAUCUGCGACCUACACCGCAGCUCAUGGCAGCACAAGAUCCUUAACCCACUGAGCAAGGCCAGGGAUCGAACCUGCAAUCUCAUGGUUCCUAGUUGGAUACAUUUCCACUGCACCAUGAUGGGAACUCCUUUAAUGGCAUUUUGAGGGCGUGUUUUUAAAUAUCCUCAAUAAUGGACUAAAGAAUUGGUGGCCCAGCAGUUAAGGGAUCUGUCAUUGUCACUGCUGUGGCUCGGGUUUGAUCCCUGGCCUGGGAACUUCCACUUGCCCACAACGUGGCCAAGAUAAAGGAAGAAAUACUUAUUUUUUAAUGGUGGCCAUGAUGUGGAGAGGCAACCAGCAAGAGUUUUCUUUUUAGGGCUGCACCUGCAGCAUAUGGAAGUUCCCAGGCUAGGGGUCAAAUUGGAGCUAUAGCUGCCAGCCUACACCUCAGCCACAGCAACGCCACAUCCAAGCCAUGUCUUCAACCUACACGACAACUCACAGAAAUGCUGGAUCUUUAACCCACUGACGGGGGCCAGGGAUCGAACCACAUCCUCAUGGAUAUUAGUUGGCUUCGUUACUGCUGAGCCACAGUGGGAACUCACAGCCAGAGCUCUUUCUGAGUGGUGGUCAGCGUCACUGGAAUAAAUCAAAACCUGCACAUGGCAGGUUCAGUCCCUCCCUGUGAUGGAGGGACUGGCCGUGUGCCAGAGAAGAGGAGGAGCACAGAUACGCAAGCACAACCAAAGGAGGGGGCCACCCUGCCCUGGCCAGACCCAUGCCCCAAAUGGGACCAAGAGGCAGGGAAGCCCAUGACACUUCUAAAGCCAUACGUCGGCUUUGACAACUGCUUGACAACCCAGUACCCAGAUGCUUCAAAUAUGCACGCUUGGGAGUGGGUGUACGUAUUUUUCCUAAAACCCCACUCAUCGUCUUCACCCCUUCUUUUGAGUCUGCCCAGAGUUCUACUCAAGGUCUCCUUUCCGGGCCCUGGGGCACCCACCCCCCCAGGCAGUUCUGUGGCCCCACCUUGGUGAUGGCUGUAAUGCAAACCCCUUUUCUUCCCGGUAUGAGCAGUCUCCGUUGUUCUUCUGUGACCCAAAUCAUGCAAAGAACCAGGUGGUUGCUUUACAUUACAUCUCGGGAGCUCAGCUGGCGUGAAGCACACCUAUCUGAAUUUUCCCUAUAUGUGUACUUUCCGUUCUGGUUUUUUGGUGCCAACUGGUUAUUACUUUUAUAUGUCAUGCUCACUUGACCCCUCAUCAAUUUGCUAUAUUAUGGGUAUAAAAGAUCUCUGAAUAUGUAUCCAAGAAACACAGGGGUGGCCUCUGGGGAAUGGAACCAGGUGGCUGUGGGCCGGUCUGGGAAGGAGACUUUUGGCGGGUUUAAUGUUGAACCACGUGAGCAAAUACCUAAUCAAAAAGCCCUUUUUCACAUAGGAAUUUACGGCAGUGAAAAUACUCUGCAUGAUAUUGUAAUGAUGAUAUGUGUCAUUUUGUAUUUGUCCAAACCCACAGAAUAUACAACACCUUGACUGAAUCCCACAGUGUAAACUGUGGAUUUUGGGGGAUGGUGGCGAGUCACUGUAAGUUCAUCACUUGUAAUAAAUGUACCCCCUGGUAGGGAGUAUUGAUAAUGGGGCAGGCUGUGUAUGGGGGCCAGGGGCAGCGGAUCUCUGUACAUUCUUCACAAUUUUGCUGUGAACCUAAAACUCUUAAAGAAGAAAGUUUUUUUUAUGACUCAAUGAAUUUAUGACAUUUAUAGUUGUAUAAUGAUCUUCACAAUCCAGACAGUCUAUUUUUUUUUUUUUGUCUUUUGUCUUUUGUCUUUUUGUUGUUGUUGUUGUUGUUGCUAUUUCUUGGGCCGCUCCCGUGGCAUAUGGAGGUUCCCAGGCUAGGGGUUGAAUCGGAGCUGUAGCCACCGGCCUACGCCAGAGCCACAGCAACGCGGGAUCCGAGGCGCGUCUGUAACCUACACCACAGCUCACGGCAACGCCGGAUCCUUAACCCACUGAGCAAGGGCAGGGACCGAACCUACAACCUCAUGGUUCCUAGUCGGAUUCGUUAACCACUGCGCCACGACGGGAACUCCAGACAGUCUAUUUUUAAGCCAGGAAAAAAAAAAAAUACUUGCAACAAUAAAUAAUGAAAAGGAUGAGAAGACGAGCAGGGAGCUCUCUUGGUGAGGAAGAGAGCACUGGAAGAGGAGCCACCUGCCACCAGAAGUGGAAGGAGAGAUGCUCAAAGAACAUUUUUAGAAAUAUUUGUGGUAUAAUAUGGAAUGGAAUCACCUCCCUCCAACCUCCACCAAGGAAUGGGCAGUAAAAGUCUACAAAACCCAUCCAAAUGUGAGGAAAUUGGAACCCUGUUCACCUUUGCUGGGAGUGUCCAAUGGUAUAGCUGUUCCAGAAACCAGUAUGACAACUUCUCCAAAAAAUGAACACAGAAUUACCAAAUGAUCCAGAAAUUCCUCUGGUACAUACCAAAAAGAAUUGGGAGCAGAGGCAUUCCCGCUGUGCCUCAGCCCAUUAAGAACCUGACUAGCAUCCACAAAGAUGCAGGUUUGACUCUGGCCUUGCUCAGUGCACUGAGCACUCAUAGCACGGUAUUCAUGAUAGCCAAAAGGUAGAAGAAACGCAAGUGUCUAUCCAUCAUGCACGGAUAAGCCACAUACGAUCUCUCCGUACAAUGGAAUGUUAUUUGGUCCUAAAAAAGAAAGGAAUUGGGAACAGACCAUUCCAUGGAUGAAGUUUAAGGACAUUGAUAUUGUAUGAUUCCACUUAGAUGAGGUACCUAGGCUAUUCGCAUCCAUGGAGACCGAGAGUAGAAUGGUGGUUGCCAAGGGUGAAGGCGAGGGUGGGGAGGAGUGGGGAGUCAUUGUUUGACAGGCACACAGAGUUUCAGUUUUGCAGGAUAAGAAAGAGUUCUGGAGAUGGAGGGUGAAGAUGGUUGCAUAGCAACGCGAGUGUACUUAACACUGUGGAACUGCCUACUUAAACAUGAUCCUGCCAAGUUUUACAUUAUGUGUACUUUACCACUAUUAAAGGUUUUACGUUUCUUUCGAAAUACUUUGUCAGUCAGGGUUGUGUGUUUCAGUGCUGGGUCACAUGGAGAAUGGCGGAGGCAAGACCAUGGGCUAAACCUAGAUUCAAGGCCAGGGCAAGAUGGACCAGCAUCUUUUGUGGGACAUCUCUAGGGUGGGCCCCUGGCCAGUGAUGAGCAACGCUCAGGUGAUAUGGCUCCAGAUGUAUCCCAGCCUCCUCCAACAGUGGUGUCAACUCCUGGCGUCCGUGGACAACAUGUGACAAGACUUCCAACCUUUUCCUUCUUUACCUGGAGUGAAGUUUUCCUCACUUCCUUUUCCACGUCUGCUCAGCCAUUUAGCCAGCAAAUAUGCACUGCCGCAUACCAGGGGCCAAGCUCUGUGCCACAUGGUAGAGACCAAGAGGUGAGCCAGCAGAGGCAGUGCCUAGAGGAGACUCCCACUCCACCGGGGAAGACAGACCAGCAGACGAGCCCCUGCGAGGAAGCUUGAGGUGAGAUGAUGGGCAGGCACUGGGAAUGAGGGGACCACAUAGCCUUGAGUGG
rnacentral:lncRNA from 9 species